UACGGAGGGUGCAAGCGUUAUCCGGAUUCACUGGGUUUAAAGGGUGCGUAGGUGGGCAGGUAAGUCAGUGGUGAAAUCUCUGGGCUUAACCCGGAAACUGCCGUUGGUACUAUCUGUCUUGAAUAUAGUGGAGGUGAGCGGAAUAUGUCAUGUAGCGGUGAAAUGCUUAGAUAUGACAUAGAACAUCGAUUGCGAAGGCAGCUCGCUACACUAUGAUUGACACUGAGGCACGAAAGCGUGGGGAUCAAACAGG
rnacentral:rRNA from 1 species